rnacentral:lncRNA from 1 species
GCCAGAUAUUUCAAUUCUUGAUUUCUUUGUUUCUUCAUUAUAAGCAAUUUUGAGGAGAAAGAGAAUUCCACAAGGACAAUGAAAACUUACUAAUCAAAAUAAAUGUAUGAGCUAAGGAAAUAAUCCCAGGAUUGUCACAAACUCUGCUUAACACUGUCCUGAUACCCCUGUGGCUUGUCACCUGGAUCUACUGGGUAUUCACAGCAUGUUCUGACCACAGCUAUGUAUGAGUUCAUCAACAAGAUACCAGAGAAAACUGAUGAACACAUUAGUGUUUAUGAUAUGCCAUGAACCAGGAAGGCAAAGGACCAGUCAGUUUUGGGAAGUUUUGGCUCAUAUUCUAGCCCAGGAGCAUCCUGUUAACAGGGGAAAAGCCUUCCUUGACUCAACUGGGAAGAUGCUGUAGCUGAUGCUUCAGUCUCUGAAGACCUAGUCCUGGAGGCUUCCUUGUGGGAACUUGUACACAUGGGCCUUGGAGGACUUUGUGGAUGGAAAUCCAUAUGCUUAGAGGAAUGAUCUGGAGUGUCUCCUCUUUUGUAUGCACCACAAGCACAGCUGGCAGUUGGAAGUCAACCGUACCAGAUGCUACCUUCACAUAAAACAAGUCUUUGCAGAGAUAUGUAUGAAGAGUUUGUAGCAUUUUUGGGAAAAAUGCAGAAGGUAGAUGUCUAACUCCUUCAAAUGUAAAUUAGUGUCCUUGUUGUCUAAUUCAUGGGGACCUGUAGAAGACAGCUACGGGUGCCUAGAAGAAGCUCUUUGCUGAGAGGUCUACAAAACAUUCUCUAAUACUGAGCAAUUUUGUGCAGAGGAGACAUGGGGCUUUUCUAAU